UCGGUAAUUCCAGCUCCACAAGUAUAUAUUAAAGUUGUUGCAGUUAAAAAGCUCGUAGUUGGUACUCUAGACCGUUCCAGCGUCGGCUCCGGUCACGUUGGUAUCGGCCUAUCCGUCUGAGAAACAUUUGUGGCCUUCAGUGGUCAGAAUGUGGAACAGACCAUUUACUGAGAAAAAAAUUAGAGUGUUCAAGGCAGGCUAAUGCCCUGAAUAUACAAGCUUGGAAUAAUAGAACAUGACUGAAGUCAUUUUGUUGGUUAUGUGACUUUAGUAAUGAUCAAUAGGGACAGUUGUGGGCUUAAGUAUGUAAUUGUCAGAGGUGAAAUUCUUGGAUUUUUUACAGACUAACUUACGCGAAAGCAUUUGCCAAGGAUGUUUUCAUUAAUCAAGAACGAAAGUUAGGGGAUCAAAGACGAUCAGAUACCGUCCUAGUCUUAACUAUAAACGAUUCCGACUAAGGAUUAGGCGAAUCACUUUAAUUCGCUUAGCACUUUUUGAGAAAUCAAAGUCUUUGGGUUCCGGGGGAAGUAUGGAGCGCAAGUCUGAAACUUAAAGGAAUUGACGGAAGGGCACACCAGUUGUGGAGCCUGCGGCUUAAUUUGACCCAACACGGGAAAACUUACAAGCCUAAGACAUAGGUAGGAUUGACAGAUUGAGAGCUCUUUCUUGAUUCUAUGGGUGGUGGUGCAUGGCCGUUCUUAGUUGGUGAAGUGAUUUGUCUGGUUAAUUCCGUUAACGAACGAGACCUUAGCCUGCUAAACUAGGCGCCGGAUUUUUCAUCUGGUUGUCUUCAUAGAGGGACUUUGCGUUCAAACGCAAGGAAGUAUGAGGCAAUAACAGGUCUGGAAUGCCCCUAGAUUGGCUUGGCCGCACGCGCGCUACAAUGACUCGUUCAGCAAGUUUCUUUCCUGGCCUGACAAGGUUUCGGGUAAACUUCAUAAUACGAUGUCGUGCUGGGAAUUGUCCUUUGCAAUUAUAGGACAUGAACUAGGAAUAACUAGUAACGGUAAGUCAUCAGCUUGCCGUGAUUACGUCCCUGCCCUUUGUACACACCGCCCGUCGCUCCUACAGAUUGAUUUUUUCGGUGAACCUUCUGA
rnacentral:rRNA from 1 species